AUGGAGGAGAAAGCUAUGAAAGAAGGACCCUGGAGGCUCUAGAGGACUUUGCCCUAAGGCAGAGAAGGCGCCGGUGCGCCUUUUCUUAACGACGCCCAACAUUCGGGUAGCUGUAUUGCAGAGAACUGCCCGCAAGGACUCGGGGCUCCGAGUCCCGACCGGCUCUGCCCCAGCGUAAGUGGUGUAUUGAGGUGUCGCCAGGCAAACAUCCAAAGGCCUCUGGCUGCACAGGAAAAGAAACCCCUGUUCUGUGGUCUCCUGAAGGGAAUUGGAAGAAUGUGGCUAACCCUUCAUAAGAGGGGAAGAGCUUCGUACCGGAGGGGAUGCUUCUGCUUUCUGCUGCUGAUCAGAGGUGGGGAGUGUUUCUGGAGGGGGCUUUUGCUGCUAGCCACGGAGGGCCUUACUCAGGUGGCUCAUUUCCGAAAUGGUUUCUUGGGCCGCCGUCGGGUGGCUGAGAAGAUGGGCGGAUUCUGCUGUGCUCCGGGGCUGUCAGGAGGGACUCGGUCGAGGCUGUGUGCUUCCCUCCGUCUGUCUGGGAGCCGGCAGGGAGGUCGGAAGAAAAGCCUCUGUUUCGAGUGGACCAGAAUUGUGGCGAUUAAUGUGGCAACAGUGGCAUCCUAUCCAUGCACGCCUGGAACGUUUCAGAGCACCCCUGGGUCUACACAGGGCUGUCAUGGUGCUCCUGGUUCGAGUGCUCUACAGCUUACAGUCCCGUGCUGUGCAUGCAGGGGCCAAGCACACCGGCCCUGGGUCAAAUUUUCAAAAAGCGACCUAGGGAUCCUAAAUCACUCAUUGCCAUUUCCCCCAAAAUGGUUUAGGGCCUGAUUUUUAGAGGUACAGUAUUUAGGUGUUACCUGAACGAGAGGUAGGCACCUAAAUACCUUAGGGGUUCUGAGUCUUAGCCUACUAAGGCACUUUUGAAAAUUUGACCCACGAUCCCCACUUUCCAGGUGGGGAAACUGAGGCAUGGUACAAGACAGUGGUUGGGCAAAGGCCAGUAAGGUGUGGUUUUGCAUGCGUUCAGAUAACCUCCUCACACCGAGAUGUCUACGGAGGAAGCCCAAGGCUCAAAAAAAAAAAAAAGUUUCCUUCCCAGGAGAUGGCAGACGUAUGUUUGCUGACUCCUAUGGCUUGGCAUCUGUGCCCCUUGUGCGUCACCCCGUGAACGGCCUGUUUGUUUAUAGCACCUUUUGUGAGUCAUUCCUCACUUGGCAUGAUCUUGGGAAAGGACUUAGCCCCUUUUACGCUAACCCACAGCGGGCGGGAAACCACUGUCGAUUGCACAUUCGUUCUAUCCCAGCUCGGUUGAUUGCUCUGGGACGGACCGGAAAUGCAUCAUGAGGGACAUUCAGGUUUCUUGUUCUUAGGCUUUAUCUGCAUGGGGGUGGGGAGGUAGACUGGCUUAAGUAUUCUGCGAUAGCUUUUCUGGAAGAACUGCCCCCAUGGAUUCUCGGCGCUGGAAUGGAAACGAUUUUAUUCCAGAACCAAGUCCACUUUCAUUUCAGAAUAGUUUCUGCACAGGGAGAUAUUCUGGAAUACUUAGAGGGCUAAAGUCAAACUAAGAUUUGCAACGCCAGCUACGUGAAUACCGUAGCUGGAGUUGUCAUCUCUUAGAUCAUAUUACUGCCAUGUCCCUGUUACGGGAGGGGUGGAGGGAUUGAUGGGAGAAACUCCCCCGUCAACUUCCCUUAUUCUCACAAACCGGUGGAGUACUGGAGUCGACAGGAGCGCAAUCGGCAGUCGAUGUAGCGGGUCUUUACUAGACCCGCUAAAUCGAUCCCUGGGAGAUUGAUCUCCACAGCGUCGCUCUCCCAGUAAGUGUAGACAAGGCCUUAUUCUGGGAUAACGAUGCUGGCCAAUUUCUCCUGCAGUAACCAACCCAAAGAUUGACACUCCCGCAAGCUGUCGUUGGGCAGUCAGCCUGUCGGGUGGCUUCCAGUCAUGGGGUCAGAGAGGACCAUCUCCAAGCCAGGUCGUGGUUUGGAGGCACGAAAUAUGACAGUUGGAAUGAGCGGACCACACAGACAAAGCCAACGCCCAGCUCCUUAGCCGGGGGGGGAGGGGACCCUUGGGCGCCCAGCAACACGGAGGAUCUAUUUUACAUCCAGAACGUACAGUCCUCCGCGCUGGCACAUUUCACACGUAGAGCGAGUGAUGCUCUGGGCCAUUGUGUGACUGAUACUGUUCGCUUGUUAGCGCCUCUAACCUGCGUGGAGGUGACAUGUUGCAUGUGCUCGUGUGGUUGAGGUGUGUGUCAUACAUGUGCUUUUGAUUGUUGUGAUUGUCUGUUGUCUGUAUAUUGCUUCAUAGAGACUUUAACGCCAGACUUCAACGAGAAGCUUCAGAAUUGUCAUUCAUGCUUAAAUUUGACACUUUAUGUAUGGGUUUAAACAAAGACU